GACGAACGCUGGCGGCGUGCUUAACACAUGCAAGUCGAACGAGAAAGCACUUCGGUGGGAGUACAGUGGCGAACGGGUGAGUAACACGUGGGCAACCUGCCCUGGAGAGCGGGACAACCCGAGGAAACUCGGGCUAAUACCGCAUGAUGCGUCCUGGCGUAAGUCAGGCCGCCAAAUGGUAGCUCUUCGGAGCCUCCGCUCUGGGAUGGGCCCGCGCCGGAUUAGCUAGUUGGUUGGGGUAACGGCCCACCAAGGCGACGAUCCGUAGCUGGUCUGAGAGGACGAUCAGCCACACUGGGACUGAGACACGGCCCAGACUCCUACGGGAGGCAGCAGUGGGGAAUCUUGCGCAAUGGGCGAAAGCCUGACGCAGCAACGCCGCGUGAGGGAAGAAGGCCUUCGGGUUGUAAACCUCUUUCAGGAGGGACGAAGCUUCCGGGGUUAAUAGCCUACGGGGUGACGGUACCUCCAGAAGAAGCCCCGGCUAACCACGUGCCAGCCGCCGCCGUAA
rnacentral:rRNA from 1 species